CACAAAAUGUGAAUCUAAUUUAUGAAACCCAAAAGCCCUAACACCAUUUGUAUUCUAAGAUUGUAUUCAAAUCAGGAGUAGAAAGUAAUUUUUCCAACAAUAUCAUCCUGUAAAGCCCUUCUCGGUGUUGACGAUCUCUUUCGCUGAGAUGGUCCAAACGACAGGACGAGGUAAAGGUCGAAGUGGAACUGGUCAUGGACGUGGCCAUUUUCAAGGACGUGGUAAUUAUGGAGUGAUGUCUCAGCCACAAGUACAACCAAUAGGGAAUACUGCAGCAUCUCCUGAGACAGAAGAAUCAAAUAAUCUUAGUCAAGAACCUCUAGAGAGAGGACAAAUCUUAAGUAACCCUUGGCAAAGACCUUCUCUAGAGACAGUAUCGUCAAGGAAUCUGGACAAAAGUGUGCUUCCCUCUCCUGAAGUUGAAACUGGUGCAG